AACGAACGCUGGCGGCAUGCCUAACACAUGCAAGUCGAACGAGACCUUCGGGUCUAGUGGCGCACGGGUGCGUAACGCGUGGGAACCUGCCCUUAGGUUCGGAAUAACUCCCCGAAAGGGGUGCUAAUACCGGAUAAUGUCUUCGGACCAAAGAUUUAUCGCCUUUGGAUGGGCCCGCGUUGGAUUAGCUAGUUGGUAGGGUAAAAGCCUACCAAGGCGACGAUCCAUAGCUGGUCUGAGAGGAUGAUCAGCCACACUGGGACUGAGACACGGCCCAGACUCCUACGGGAGGCAGCAGUGGGGAAUAUUGGACAAUGGGCGAAGGCCUGAUCCAGCAAUGCCGCGUGAGUGAUGAAGGCCUUAGGGUUGUAAAGCGCUUUUACCCGGGAUGAUAAUGACAGUACCGGGAGAAUAAGCUCCGGCUAACUCCGUG
rnacentral:rRNA from 1 species